GAGGAAUAUUGGUCAAUGGGCGAGAGCCUGAACCAGCCAAGUAGCGUGCAGGAUGACGGCCCUAUGGGUUGUAAACUGCUUUUGUAUGGGGAUAAAGUCAAUCACGUGUGAUUGUUUGCAGGUACCAUACGAAUAAGGACCGGCUAAUUCCGUGCCAGCAGCCGCGGUAAUACGGAAGGUCCGGGCGUUGUCCGGAUUUAUUGGGUUUAAAGGGAGCGUAGGCUGGAGAUUAAGUGUGUUGUGAAAUGUAGACGCUCAACGUCUGACUUGCAGCGCAUACUGGUUUCCUUGAGUACGCACAACGUUGGCGGAAUUCGUCGUGUAGCGGUGAAAUGCUUAGAUAUGACGAAGAACUCCGAUUGCGAAGGCAGCUGACGGGAGCGCAACUGACGCUGAAGCUCGAAGGUGCGGGUAUCGAACAGGAUUAGAUACCCUGGUAGUCCGCACAGUAAACGAUGGAUGCCCGCUGUUGGUACUUGGUAUCAGCGGCUAAGCGAAAGCAUUAAGCAUCCCACCUGGGGAGUACGCCGGCAACGGUG
rnacentral:rRNA from 1 species